rnacentral:lncRNA from 1 species
AUAAUAUUACAAUAGGCUAAAAACUUAAAUAUAAUUCUCUAAUACAUAAUUAGCCAACACAAAAUAUAAAAAUACUAACAAUACAAGUACCGUACAUAACAUACAAAUCAACCACUAAUAUAAAAAAAACUAAUAGAGAUUUACCAAUUUAGGAAUUUUGACAUUUUGUGACAAAACCUUUGCCCUUUCCCUUUGCCCGAUUUUUUUAUUGUUUUGUUUAAUUUUUUUUUCAAUUUUAUAAUAUA